rnacentral:rRNA from 1 species
AGAUAAAUAAAUAUUAUUGGUUCGUCAGUUAAAUUUUUAAUUUUCUUUAAAUUUAAAAUUUUAAGGUGAAAUUUUAAUUUUAUUUAAUUAGUUUUUUAUUGAAUCUGUGAAAUUUAUAUUAAAAACAAGGAUUAGAUACCCUUUUAUUUUAAAUGUAAUUUGGGGCCGGGGUAGUAAUAGUUAUGUUCUUGAAACCCAAAGAAUUUGGCGGUAUUUUAUUCUUUUUAGAGGAACCUGUCCUAUAAUUGAUAGUCCACGAUGGGAAAUUACUUAUUCUUGCAAUCAUUUUGUAUACCUCCGUCAUCAGAAUAUCUUUUUAGAGAGCAUGUUCUUAAUAUACAAAAUUUAAUAUGUCAGGUCAAGGUGUAAAUUAUGGAUAAGUAGAGAUGGGUUACAAUAAAUUUAUUUAUACGGAUUUAUAUAUUUAUUUAUAUAUUGAAGGUGGAUUUAAAAGUAAAAUUUUCUCCUUGUUAAUUUGAUUUUGGCUCUAAAAUAUGCACACAUCGCCCGUCGCUCUUAUUAUAAAAUAAGAUAAGUCGUAACAUAGUAGAGGUACCGGAAGGUGUCCCUAGUUAGUAAUCGAGUUAGAGCUUGAUAGAAAGCAUUCCAUUUACACUGGA